UAGCUAGUUGGUAAGGUAACGGCUUACCAAGGCGAUGAUGCAUAGCCGAGUUGAGAGACUGAUCGGCCACAUUGGGACUGAGACACGGCCCAAACUCCUACGGGAGGCAGCAGUAGGGAAUCUUCCACAAUGGACGCAAGUCUGAUGGAGCAACGCCGCGUGAGUGAAGAAGGUUUUCGGAUCGUAAAGCUCUGUUGUUGGUGAAGAAGGAUAGAGGUAGUAACUGGCCUUUAUUUGACGGUAAUCAACCAGAAAGUCACGGCUAACUACGUGCCAGCAGCCGCGGUAAUACGUAGGUGGCAAGCGUUGUCCGGAUUUAUUGGGCGUAAAGCGAGCGCAGGCGGAAAAAUAAGUCUGAUGUGAAAGCCCUCGGCUUAACCGAGGAACUGCAUCGGAAACUGUUUUUCUUGAGUGCAGAAGAGGAGAGUGGAACUCCAUGUGUAGCGGUGGAAUGCGUAGAUAUAUGGAAGAACACCAGUGGCGAAGGCGGCUCUCUGGUCUGCAACUGACGCUGAGGCUCGAAAGCAUGGGUAGCGAACAGGAUUAGAUACCCUGGUAGUCCAUGCCGUAAACGAUGAGUGCUAAGUGUUGGGAGGUUUCCGCCUCUCAGUGCUGCAGCUAACGCA
rnacentral:rRNA from 1 species